rnacentral:rRNA from 1 species
AGAGCGAACGCUGGCGGCAGGCCUAAUACAUGCAAGUCGAGCGCACCUUCGGGUGAGCGGCGGACGGGUGAGUAACGCGUGGGAAUAUGCCCUUUGGUACGGAACAACCCAGGGAAACUUGGGCUAAUACCGUAUGUGCCCUUCGGGGGAAAGAUUUAUCGCCAUUGGAGUAGCCCGCGUUGGAUUAGCUAGUUGGUAGGGUAAAGGCCUACCAAGGCUACGAUCCAUAGCUGGUCUGAGAGGAUGAUCAGCCACACUGGGACUGAGACACGGCCCAGACUCCUACGGGAGGCAGCAGUAGGGAAUCUUGCGCAAUGGGCGAAAGCCUGACGCAGCCAUGCCGCGUGAAUGAUGAAGGUCUUAGGAUUGUAAAAUUCUUUCACCGGGGAAGAUAAUGACGGUACCGGAGAAGAAGCCCCGGCUAACUCGCGCCAGCAGCCGC